ensembl:lncRNA
ACCCAAGCCUAUGCUAUGCUGUGCUCAGUCGCUCAGUCGCUCAGUCGUGUCCGACUCUUUGCGAGCCCAUGGACUCUACCUUGCCACUCUGUCCAUGGGGAUCCUCCAGGCAAGAAUACUGGAGUGGGUUGCCAUGCCCUCCUCCAGGAGAUCUUCCCAACCCAGGGAUUGUACCCAGGUCUCCCGCAUUGCAGGCAGAUUCUCUACCAUCUGACCACCAACCAAACCCAAGAAUACUGGAGUGGGUAGCCUAUCCCUGCUCCAGGGAAACUUCCCAACCCACGCAUAGAACAGGUAUCUCCUGCAUUGCAGGCAGAUUCUUUACCAAAUGAGCAACCAGGGAGGCCUAAUCAUAAUAUCCCAUCUGUUCUUAGUAGUGACUGGCCCAGGAGACGGGUCCCCAAGAAGAACCAGUCAGAAUCCCUCUCUCGGACAGAGCCAGACCACAGCUGUGUGUGUGUGUGGGUUUUCUUUUUGUUUGGCAAUUGUCUUGGUGGGCUGAAUGGGAAAGGUUAGUCUACAUAGUAGGAGAGAAAGCAGGCAACUGCCCACAGGCAUACAGACCUGAAAAAUAAACAGAUAAUAGGAAGACGAUAGGUAGAUGAUGGAAUUCCGGCUCCAUUAUUUGAGCCCCUGAUUCUUCCAUCCAUGAAGCCAGGGGCUGCCGCUCAUGCUCUGGCCGUCUGCCCUGUAAAGUGACGCGGCCUUUGGCUUCUGUCACCUGCCACAGGAAGAGCCCUCCACUCACCCCAGCCCACCCACCGUCCUUACUGCCCUAGACCUCGGCCUCCUGACAAUAAGGGGUUUCUGGGUGUUUUCUGCUGGCCCUUCCCGCAAAGACCGUCAUGUCUUUCAACUGCUUACGCUGAAGAAUUGCAGCUCAAGCCACCAAAUGUUCUUAACAAAAGUGUUGAUAACAUAACAGCUUUCCAAGUAAAUCCAGAGCCUUCUGUUUCCAAGGGAUGGUUAGUGGAGGGAGUGGGGAGGGGUGUGUGUGCUGUUGGGGGAGAGGGAGGCAAAUUACUUUUGUUCACCGCAGGACCUGUUCCGGGUUUGCCCGCCUCCCCAGGUGCUCUGCUGACUGGAGACUUUUCCAGCAGGGCCGGCUUCCAGGCGGGUGACCAUCAGAUUCAAAUCACUUCUGCUCCCCAGCUCAGCACUGAGGCCCAGGUGCCUGCUGGAUUCAGAACGUGGCCGCUCCUUCCUUCAAGAAAUCUCUACUUAGCACAGCCAGGGCCCGUACAGUUGUCAUUAGGAGGUCUCUCCCGCAUGCCCACUGUGUGCUCAGCUCAGAAGGGAGUGUGCUAUAGAGGAGACGUGUGAGAAGAAAAGAAGUUAUCUGCUAGCAGCCCACUGCAGGAUAAACUCGCUGUGGGGAGAAGGGUUUUGGUUAGGAACACACAAGGGCAUGCCUGGCUGACCUCUGUGUUAUGAGUCGCUGUGCGUGAAACUUGAAUGGUGGCGUUGCAGGCAUCGCUGUCAGCUGGCGAACUUGACAGUAUGUUUGGAGGGGCCUGGCUGUGUCCAGAGGUGGGUUUUGUCUCUAGAUCAAGAGACAACAGUGUUUUCACCAUGUAUCUCUCUCCUUGGCCCUGCCAUGAGCAGCUGACCAUUGGCCAGAUUGAGACCAGAGACCACAGGCUUUUUAAAAAAUAUAUAUUUAUUUAAUUUAUUUGACUGUGCUGGGUCUUUGUUGCGGCACACAAGAUUUUCAGUCUUCAUGGCGGCAUGUGGGGUCUUUAGUUGUGGCAUGUAGAAUCUAGUUCCCUGGCCAGGGAUCAAACCCGGGCCCCCUGAAUUGGGAGCAUGGAGUAUUAGCCACUGGAGCACCAGGAAAGACCUCCCUGACCACAGGCCUUUUAAUGUCUGUCCCGAAGCUGUGCUCUGGCCUCUGUACUAUGUUGUCCCCUUCCGGAUAAUUAACACCCAUCCUAAGACCAUGAUUGGCACCAAUCUUAACUACCACUGAGCAACCGUUGGGUUUUAUCCUCCAUUUUCCUUUCAUGCCUAGUUGGGGUCUGCCGGAAAAUCCUCUUGGCCUUUUAAAAACUGAGACUAUUUUGAGAAUGUACUUAAAUCUAUUGAAUUGUACACUUAGAAAUAGUUAAAAUGGUAAAUUUUACUUGAUGGGCGUGGCGCAACGCAUGUGCCCUCCGUCGUGCCCGACUCUUUGUGACCCUGUGGCAUUAGUCCCAGGCAGGAACAAUCCAAGCCAGGGGGAGGGGCAGCCAUUCCUGCUGAAACAGAGCAGCACCCUAGAGUCCUUGCCCCCAUGUCCUCAGCCUGCCUUUUGCCUGCGGAAAAAACUUUAGCCAAAGAGUGAGUUUAAUCAGAGAAAUGAGAAAUGCAGAAACAAAGGAAAACAGUCAAAGGAGACCAAAUGAUAAUACUGUGGGCAUUACGCAUAGUCAAGGACCUUGAUUUCCUUCUCAAGGGAUAUAGAUAAUACUCUGACCAUAUCCUGUGAGCUGUCUCAUAGAUACUGAAACCCCCACCAGCUGGGAGAAGUUAACUCCACGAUGAUCAGAUUGUGUAGACACAGGCUGCCACAAUUCUGAGAAUUGGCCUCAAAGAAAUGGAAACAAACUGACCCAGGAACUGAAGAGUAACGGUACCUAAAACAACCAAGGUGACGUUGGUCAGACCACUGAUGACCAACCUGAAGAUGACUAUCAGAGCUGACUACUGUUUCUGCAUGUGGCCCCCUCCCUCUGCCUAUAAAAACUCUUGCCCACUGCUUGUCCGGGGUUGGGGAGUUGAUCUUUGGACAGGGGUCUGUCCUGUCCGGUUGCUGGCAUCCAAAAUAAAGCCAAC